rnacentral:rRNA from 1 species
CGCGCAGGCGGUCGAUCAAGUCGAGUGUGAAAGCCCCCGGCUCAACUGGGGAGGGUCAUUCGAUACUGAUCGACUCGAAGGCAAGAGAGGGUAGUGGAAUUCCCGGUGUAGUGGUGAAAUGCGUAGAUAUCGGGAGGAACACCAGUGGCGAAGGCGACUACCUGGCCUGUUCUUGACGCUGAGGCGCGAAAGCUAGGGAGCAAACG